UGAGGAAGGCCUUCGGGUCGUAAAGCUCUGUUGUGAGGGAAGAAGCGGUACCGUUCGAAUAGGGCGGUACCUUGACGGUACCUCACCAGAAAGCCACGGCUAACUACGUGCCAGCAGCCGCGGUAAUACGUAGGUGGCAAGCGUUGUCCGGAAUUAUUGGGCGUAAAGCGCGCGCAGGCGGCUUCUUAAGUCUGAUGUGAAAUCUCGGGGCUCAACCCCGAGCGGCCAUUGGAAACUGGGGAGCUUGAGUGCAGAAGAGGAGAGUGGAAUUCCACGUGUAGCGGUGAAAUGCGUAGAGAUGUGGAGGAACACCAGUGGCGAAGGCGACUCUCUGGUCUGUAACUGACGCUGAGGC
rnacentral:rRNA from 2 species